rnacentral:rRNA from 1 species
UUAAGUUAAUAAGGGCGCACGGUGGAUGCCUUGGCACUAGGAGCCGACGAAGGACGUGACAAACGACGAUAUGCCUUGGGUAGCUGUAAGUAAGCGAUGAUCCAGGGAUUUCCGAAUGGGGGAACCCAACAGGUAAUACCUGUUACCUACAUCUGUUAAGGAUGUGAGGAGGAAGACGCAGUGAACUGAAACAUCUAAGUAGCUGCAGGAAGAGAAAGCAAAAGCGAUUGCCUUAGUAGCGGCGAGCGAAACGGCAGAAGGGCAAACCGAAGAGUUUACUCUUCGGGGUUGUAGGACUGCAAUGUGGACUCAAAGAUUAUAGAAGAAUGAUUUGGGAAGAUCAGCCAAAGAGAGUAAUAGCCUCGUAUUUAAAAUAGUCUUUGUACUUAGCAGUAUCCUGAGUACGGCGGGACACGUGAAAUCCCGUCGGAAUCUGGGAGGACCAUCUCCCAACCCUAAAUACUCCCUAGUGACCGAUAGUGAACCAGUACCGUGAGGGAAAGGUGAAAAGCACCCCGGGAGGGGAGUGAAAUAGAACCUGAAACCGUGUGCCUACAACAAGUUCGAGCCCGUUAAUGGGUGAGAGCGUGCCUUUUGUAGAAUGAACCGGCGAGUUACGUUAUGAUGCGAGGUUAAGUUGAAGAGACGGAGCCGUAGGGAAACCGAGUCUGAAUAGGGCGCCUUAGUAUCAUGACGUAGACCCGAAACCAUGUGACCUACCCAUGAGCAGGUUGAAGGUGCGGUAAGACGCACUGGAGGACCGAACCAGGGCACGUUGAAAAGUGCUUGGAUGACUUGUGGGUAGCGGAGAAAUUCCAAACGAACUUGGAGAUAGCUGGUUCUCUCCGAAAUAGCUUUAGGGCUAGCGUCGACAUUAGAGAUUCUUGGAGGUAGAGCACUGUUUGGGUGAGGGGUCCAUCCCGGAUUACCAAUCUCAGAUAAACUCCGAAUGCCAAUGAAUUAUGGUCGGCAGUCAGACUGCGAGUGCUAAGAUCCGUAGUCGAAAGGGAAACAGCCCAGACCACCAGCUAAGGUCCCAAAAUAAUUGUUAAGUGGAAAAGGAUGUGGGGUUGCACAGACAACUAGGAUGUUAGCUUAGAAGCAGCUAUUCAUUCAAAGAGUGCGUAAUAGCUCACUAGUCGAGUGACCCUGCGCCGAAAAUGUACCGGGGCUAAAACAAUUUACCGAAGCUGUGGAUACCUUUAUAGGUAUGGUAGGAGAGCGUUCUAUGUGUGAUGAAGGUAUACCGUGAGGAGUGCUGGAACGCAUAGAAGUGAGAAUGCCGGUAUGAGUAGCGAAAGACAGGUGAGAAUCCUGUCCACCGUAAGACUAAGGUUUCCAGGGGAAGGCUCGUCCGCCCUGGGUUAGUCGGGACCUAAGGAGAGACCGAAAGGUGUAUCCGAUGGACAACAGGUUGAUAUUCCUGUACUAGAGUAUGUAGUGAUGGAGGGACGCAGUAGGCUAACUAAAGCAGACGAUUGGAAGAGUCUGUCUAAGCAGUGAGGUGUGAAUUGAGUCAAAUGCUUAAUUCUAUAACAUUGAGCUGUGAUGGGGAGCGAAGUUUAGUAGCGAAGUUAGUGACGUCACACUGCCAAGAAAAGCUUCUAGCGUUUAAACAUACUCUACCCGUACCGCAAACCGACACAGGUAGUCGAGGCGAGUAGCCUCAGGUGAGCGAGAGAACUCUCGUUAAGGAACUCGGCAAAAUGACCCCGUAACUUCGGGAGAAGGGGUGCUGACUUUAAGUCAGCCGCAGUGAAUAGGCCCAAGCAACUGUUUAUCAAAAACACAGCUCUCUGCUAAAUCGUAAGAUGAUGUAUAGGGGGUGACGCCUGCCCGGUGCUGGAAGGUUAAGAGGAGUGCUUAGCGUAAGCGAAGGUAUGAAUUGAAGCCCCAGUAAACGGCGGCCGUAACUAUAACGGUCCUAAGGUAGCGAAAUUCCUUGUCGGGUAAGUUCCGACCCGCACGAAAGGCGUAAUGAUUUGGGCACUGUCUCAACGAGAGACUCGGUGAAAUUUUAGUACCUGUGAAGAUGCAGGUUACCCGCGACAGGACGGAAAGACCCCAUGGAGCUUUACUGCAGUUUGAUAUUGAGUGUCUGUACCACAUGUACAGGAUAGGUAGGAGUCUAAGAGAUCGGGACGCCAGUUUCGAAGGAGACGCUGUUGGGAUACUACCCUUGUGUUAUGGCCACUCUAACCCAGAUAGGUGAUCCCUAUCGGAGACAGUGUCUGACGGGCAGUUUGACUGGGGCGGUCGCCUCCUAAAAGGUAACGGAGGCGCCCAAAGGUUCCCUCAGAAUGGUUGGAAAUCAUUCGCAGAGUGUAAAGGUAUAAGGGAGCUUGACUGCGAGAGCUACAACUCGAGCAGGGACGAAAGUCGGGCUUAGUGAUCCGGUGGUUCCGUAUGGAAGGGCCAUCGCUCAACGGAUAAAAGCUACCCUGGGGAUAACAGGCUUAUCUCCCCCAAGAGUUCACAUCGACGGGGAGGUUUGGCACCUCGGUGUCGGCUCGUCGCAUCCUGGGGCUGUAGUCGGUCCCAAGGGUUGGGCUGUUCGCCCAUUAAAGCGGCACGCGAGCUGGGUUCAGAACGUCGUGAGACAGUUCGGUCCCUAUCCGUCGCGGGCGUAGGAAAUUUGAGAGGAUCUGCUCCUAGUACGAGAGGACCAGAGUGGACUUACCGCUGGUGUACCAGUUGUCUUGCCAAAGGCAUCGCUGGGUAGCUAUGUAGGGAAGGGAUAAACGCUGAAAGCAUCUAAGUGUGAAACCCACCUCAAGAUGAGAUUUCCCAUGAUUAUAUAUCAGUAAGAGCCCUGAGAGAUGAUCAGGUAGAUAGGUUAGAAGUGGAAGUGUGGCGACACAUGUAGCGGACUAAUACUAAUAGCUCGAGGACUUAUCCAA